CACGUAGGGGGCAAGCGUUGUCCGGAUUUAUUGGGCGUAAAGAGCUCGUAGGCGGCUUGUCGCGUCGGAUGUGAAAUCUCGGGGCUCAACUCCGAGCUUGCAUUCGAUACGGGCAGGCUAGAGUUCGGUAGGGGAGACUGGAAUUCCUGGUGUAGCGGUGAAAUGCGCAGAUAUCAGGAGGAACACCGAUGGCGAAGGCAGGUCUCUGGGCCGAUACUGACGCUGAGGAGCGAAAGCGUGGGGAGCGAACAGG
rnacentral:rRNA from 1 species